rnacentral:rRNA from 1 species
UGGGGAAUAUUGGACAAUGGGGGCAACCCUGAUCCAGCAAUGCCGCGUGUGCGAAGAAGGCCUGCGGGUUGUAAAGCACUUUCAGUAGGGAAGAAAAGCCUGGGGCUAAUACCUCCGGGUCUUGACGUUACCUAAAGAAGAAGCACCGGCUAACUCCGUGCCAGCAGCCGCGGUAAUACGGAGGGUGCGAGCGUUAAUCGGAAUUACUGGGCGUAAAGCGCACGUAGGCGGUCUGGUAAGUCGGAUGUGAAAGCCCCGGGCUUAACCGGGGAAUUGCAUUCGAUACUGCCUGACUGGAGUAUGGGAGAGNGAAGCGGAAUUUCCGGUGUAGCGGUGAAAUGCGUAGAUAUCGGAAGGAACAUCAAUGGCGAAGGCAGCUUCCUGGCCCAAUACUGACGCUGAGGUGCGAAAGCGUGGGGAUCAAACA